rnacentral:rRNA from 1 species
AUUGAACGCUGGCGGCAUGCCUUACACAUGCAAGUCGAACGGUAACAGGUCUUCGGAUGCUGACGAGUGGCGAACGGGUGAGUAAUACAUCGGAACGUGCCUAGUAGUGGGGGAUAACUACUCGAAAGAGUGGCUAAUACCGCAUGAGAUCUACGGAUGAAAGCAGGGGAUCGCAAGACCUUGUGCUACUAGAGCGGCCGAUGGCAGAUUAGGUAGUUGGUGGGACAAAAGCUUACCAAGCCGACGAUCUGUAGCUGGUCUGAGAGGAUGAGCAGCCACACUGGGACUGAGAAACGGCCCAGACUCCUACGGGAGGCAGCAGUGGGGAAUUUUGGACAAUGGGCGCAAGCCUGAUCCAGCAAUGCCGCGUGCAGGAUGAAGGCCUUCGGGUUGUAAACUGCUUUUGUACGGAACGAAAAGCCCCGGGUUAAUACCCUGGGGUCAUGACGGUACCGUAAGAAUAAGCACCGGCUAACUACGUGCCAGCCGCCGCCGUAA